ACCCCAUUAAAUGACGCGAAAUGAAAGUGAACGGAGGUGGGAACCCUCUCGGGGGUGCACCAUCGACCGAUCCUGAUGUCUUCGGAUGGAUUUGAGUAUGAGCGUGGCUGUUGGGACCCGAAAGAUGGUGAACUUUGCAUGGAUAGGGUGAAGCCAGAGGAAACUCUGGUGGAGGCUCGCAGCGGUUCUGACGUGCAAAUCGAUCGUCAAAUCAGUGCAAAGGGGCGAAAGACUAAUCGAACCGUCUAGUAGCUGGUUCCUGCCGAAGUUUCCCUCAGGAUAGCAGUAACGAACCCAGUUUUAUGAGGUAGAGCGAAUGAUUAGAGGCCUUGGGGCUGAAACAGCCUUAACCUAUUCUCAAACUUCGAAUAUGUAAGAAGUCCUUGUUGCUUCGUUGAACGUGGACGCUCGAAUGUACCGUUACUAGUGGGCCAUUUUUGGUAAGCAGAACUGGCGAUGCGGGAUGAACCGAACGCGAGGUUAAGGUGCCGGAAUGCACGCUCAUCAGACACCACAAAAGGUGUUAGUUCAUCCAGACAGCAGGACGGUGGCCAUGGAAGUCGGAACCCGCUAAGGAGUGUGUAACAACUCACCUGCCGAAUGAACUAGCCCUGAAAAUGGAUGGCGCUCAAGCGUGCUACCCAUACCUCGCCGCCGGGGCAGGAUCGAAGCCCCGGCGAGUAGGCAGGCGCGGCGGUCGGUGACGAA
rnacentral:rRNA from 2 species